rnacentral:rRNA from 1 species
AGAGUUUGAUCCUGGCUCAGGAUGAACGCUAGCUACAGGCUUAACACAUGCAAGUCGAGGGGCAUCAGGAAGAAAGCUUGCUUUCUUUGCUGGCGACCGGCGCACGGGUGAGUAACACGUAUCCAACCUGCCCUUUACUCGGGGAUAGCCUUUCGAAAGAAAGAUUAAUACCCGAUAGCAUAAUGAUUCCGCAUGGUUUCAUUAUUAAAGGAUUCCGGUAAAGGAUGGGGAUGCGUUCCAUUAGGUUGUUGGUGAGGUAACGGCUCACCAAGCCUUCGAUGGAUAGGGGUUCUGAGAGGAAGGUCCCCCACAUUGGAACUGAGACACGGUCCAAACUCCUACGGGAGGCAGCAGUGAGGAAUAUUGGUCAAUGGGCGCUAGCCUGAACCAGCCAAGUAGCGUGAAGGAUGAAGGCUCUAUGGGUCGUAAACUUCUUUUAUAUAAGAAUAAAGUGCAGUAUGUAUACUGUUUUGUAUGUAUUAUAUGAAUAAGGAUCGGCUAACUCCGUGCCAGCAGCCGCGGUAAUACGGAGGAUCCGAGCGUUAUCCGGAUUUAUUGGGUUUAAAGGGAGCGUAGGUGGACUGGUAAGUCAGUUGUGAAAGUUUGCGGCUCAACCGUAAAAUUGCAGCUGAUACUGUCAGUCUUGAGUACAGUAGAGGUGGGCGGAAUUCGUGGUGUAGCGGUGAAAUGCUUAGAUAUCACGAAGAACUCCGAUUGCGAAGGCAGCUCACUGGACUGCAACUGACACUGAUGCUCGAAAGUGUGGGUAUCAAACAGGAUUAGAUACCCUGGUAGUCCACACAGUAAACGAUGAAUACUCGCUGUUUGCGAUAUACAGUAAGCGGCCAAGCGAAAGCAUUAAGUAUUCCACCUGGGGAGUACGCCGGCAACGGUGAAACUCAAAGGAAUUGACGGGGGCCCGCACAAGCGGAGGAACAUGUGGUUUAAUUCGAUGAUACGCGAGGAACCUUACCCGGGCUUAAAUUGCAGUGGAAUGAUGUGGAAACAUGUCAGUGAGCAAUCACCGCUGUGAAGGUGCUGCAUGGUUGUCGUCAGCUCGUGCCGUGAGGUGUCGGCUUAAGUGCCAUAACGAGCGCAACCCUUAUCUUUAGUUACUAACAGGUUAUGCUGAGGACUCUAGAGAGACUGCCGUCGUAAGAUGUGAGGAAGGUGGGGAUGACGUCAAAUCAGCACGGCCCUUACGUCCGGGGCUACACACGUGUUACAAUGGGGGGUACAGAAGGCAGCUAGCGGGUGACCGUAUGCUAAUCCCAAAAUCCUCUCUCAGUUCGGAUCGAAGUCUGCAACCCGACUUCGUGAAGCUGGAUUCGCUAGUAAUCGCGCAUCAGCCACGGCGCGGUGAAUACGUUCCCGGGCCUUGUACACACCGCCCGUCAAGCCAUGGGAGCCGGGGGUACCUGAAGUACGUAACCGCAAGGAUCGUCCUAGGGUAAAACUGGUGACUGGGGCUAAGUCGUAACAAGGUAGCCGUACCGGAAGGUGCGGCUG